UACGGAGGAUGCAAGCGUUAUCCGGAAUGAUUGGGCGUAAAGCGUCCGCGGGUGGCAAUGUAAGUCUGCUGUUAAAGAGUCUAGCUCAACUAGAUAAAAGCAGUGGAAACUACAUAGCUAGAGUACGUUCGGGGCAGAGGGAAUUCCUGGUGUAGCGGUGAAAUGCGUAGAGAUCAGGAAGAACACCAGUGGCGAAGGCGCUCUGCUAGGCCGUAACUGACACUGAGGGACGAAAGCUAGGGGAGCGAAUGGG
rnacentral:rRNA from 1 species